rnacentral:rRNA from 1 species
UACGUAGGGUGCAAGCGUUAAUCGGAAUUACUAGGCGUAAAGCGUGCGCAGGCGGUUAUGUAAGACCGAUGUGAAAUCCCCGGGCUUAACCUGGGAAUGGCAUUGGUGACUGCACGGCUAGAGUGUGUCAGAGGGGGGUAGAAUUCCACGUGUAGCAGUGAAAUGCGUAGAGAUGUGGAGGAAUACCGAUGGCGAAGGCAGCCCCCUGGGAUAACACUGACGCUCAUGCACGAAAGCGUGGGGAGCAAACAGG